AGAUGCCCAAAGGAUGAUACAAGGCAAUUUACUUCUAUAGAAGGGUGCGCCCUCACAGAUGGAGCAAUGAGUCUCGCUCUAUAGCCUAGACUGGAGUGCAGUGGCGGCAUCUCGGCUCACUGCAAGCUCUGCCUCCUGGGUUUGCUCCAUUCUCCUGCCUAAGCCUCCCGAGUAGCUGGGACUACAGGUGCCCGCCACCACACCCGGCUUAUUUUUUGUAUUUUUAGUAGAGAUGGAUUUCACCGUGUUAGGAUGGCCUCCAUCUCCUGACUUCAUGAUCUUCCCGCCUCGGCCUCCUGGGAUUACAGGUGUGAGCCACCGCAUCUGGCCAGAAGUUAAGUUUAAAAGUAGAAGACAAAGAAUUGAACAUACUGACAUUGAUUCUUCGAAGAGAAAUUUAGAACUCAUAUCUAACACCAGCCUCCAAUUGAUUGAGCCAAUUCCUUCAAAUAAAUCUCUCUCUGCAAUAUGCAUCCUAUUGGAUCUGUUUCUGUAGGGAAUUCUGAUUAAUAUACCCUUUCAAGGAACAGCUUUGGAAGAUUAAGAUAAUUGUCUGCUUCUGGAACAAAAGACAGGUUUGUUGCUGUUCAGUUUAAUAAAGAGAGUGUCACCUUCUGGGGCAAAGGCUGAGCAUGUUGGCUUGCAGUUCACUGUUCAAGACUGGGCUUUCCUAAACUUGGUGUACCUGGGCGGUAAAACCAAUCACAUGUGCAGCAUCCACCUGGACUGUCCCCAUGGGACUUGGAAGGGAAAGGGGAACCGAAGGGAAUAUGAAGCCCAGGCUACUGGCUGUGCUGUGAAAAAUAAAGCCCU
rnacentral:lncRNA from 1 species